AUUGCUGGUCCUACUCAGAAUAGACUUACUGAAGUUAAUAGACAUUAGUAACUUGGGUCCAUUAAUUUCAGUAGGUUUACUCUGAGUAGGACUAGCAUC